AUAAUUAAUAAUAAUGAAGGAAAAACAGAAACUACGAAUGUGAUGAAAAGACAAACCUUUGAGAGGGCUAGACGCAGAAUAGAAAGUAAGAACCAACACCGGCGGGGACUCGGUGGGUGACAGUGAUGAAGACCGACUCAACUCAACCUUAUUUGGGUAAAUUGAUCGGAAACGAAUAACUCUUCUUAACAACACCAGCGCGCGCGCAAGAAGAUCCAGAAAGUAAGAGUUAAAACAACAAAACAAAAAGAAUGCGAAGAAUAUUGUUGCGUGAAUCGAUCUCAAUAGAACAAGAAGAAAAGGAACUAGAGUUAUUACGAAAACACAAGAGACUAGUAUUUGAGAGAAAGAUCAAAACAGCAGUGUUGGCUCCCACACUUCUAUAACCAAACACUGAAGGUAUUGAGAUUGGCUCCCAUAUUUCUCCAUUCUGAGGGUAUAAAGUGUGGCACCAUAUAACCAGAGGAUGCACCAGUGUUGAUAAUACAUGACAAAUAAGUCAAAUGAUCUUGAUAAGAUACUUGUUCAUAAGCAUGAAAUGAACAAUCACAACAGAGGACGAGCAAGCCUUAAAAAUUACUCAUGAAGAAGAGGUUGAGGUUUAGGCAGUAGAGGUGCAUUUCAAGGCUGCCACGAGCAACUGUAAGAGUGCCACAAGUUAGAAUACUUUCAAAGUGAAGAACAAGAGAUGCUGUUGAUGGCUCAUGUAAUUCACUAGAGUUUUUUGUUUUUUAUUUUUUUAUUAUAUUAUCGGAGAAGGGUUAAGAUUGAAAACUCUGAAUGUGUUGAGGUAGUUAGUAGUUUGUUUUGUUUCCUUAAGAUAGUUUUCUCUUAUGAAGCUAACCUUAUGUUUUAUAAAUAUGGCUUCACUAGGCUUUCAUUUUGAAUUAAUUGAUAAACUAGAGAGUUAUCUAGUUGAGGGGAUUAGAGUCUUUUGUGUAUUAAUUUCUUUCAAUCAACAAACACACUAGCAAAUAAUCCGAUUUCUCUAUCCUUUUAUUAUCAUUCA